AGAAUUUAAUGGGAACUAAGAAUCAAAUUUCUUUAACUUUAGUUUGCCUCAACCAAAUAUAAUGAAUCUUAUACACAAUGCUGAUUACCACAAAACAGAUGAAAGUUUGAAUUUUGGUGGCGUCACUUUUACCGUUCUAGAGUUAUGCCCCAUUACAAAUGGAAAAAUUGCCGAAUUUUUUGUUUCCAUUCUCUAACUUAAGUUUGCCUAAACCAAAUGUUUGUCUGUCCCGCUUCAGGUUAAAGUUUUUGGUCAAGGUAGUUUUUGAUGAAGUUGAAGUCCAAUCAACUUGAAUCUUAGUACACAUAUUCCCUAUGAUAUGAUCUUUCUAAUUUUAAUGCCCAAUUUCAAGGUCCACUGAACAGAAAAAAUGAUAGUGCGAGUGGGGCAUCCGUGUACUAUGGACACAUUCUUGUUUUUAUACGACCGCAAAAAUUGAAAAUUUUUUGGUCGUAUAUUGGUAUGACGUUGGCGUCGUCGUCGUCGUCGUUGUCGUCGUCAUCGUCGUCGUCCGAAGACACAUUAGUUUUCGCACUCUAACUUUAGUUUAAGUUAAUGGAUCUCCAUGAAAUUUUACCAUAAGGUUCAAUACCAUGAAAGGAAGGUUGGGAUUGAUUUUGGGGGUUAUGGUACCAACAGUUAAGGAAUUAGGGGCCAAAAAGGGGCCAAAAAUAAGCAUUUUUGUAACUUCCAGACAAUAACUUGUGUGUAAGUGUAUGGAUCUCUCUGACAUUGUACCACAAGGUUCCAUAUCACAUAGGAAGGCUGUAAUUGAUUUUGGGGGUAAUUGCCUCAAAAUUUUAAGAUAAGGGGCCAAAAAAGGGGCAAAAAACAAGCAUUUUUCUAGUUUCAUGACAAUAACUUGUGUGUAAGUGUUUGGAUAUUUCUUAAAUUGUACUACAAGGUUCCAUAUCACAAAGGGAAAGCUGGAAUUGAGUUUGGGGGUAAUUGCCCGAAACGUUUAGGAAUUGGGGGCCAAAAAGGGGCCAAAAAUAAGCAUUUUUCUAGUUUCCAGACAAUAACUUGUGUUCAAUUGUAUGGAUAUCUCUGAAAUUAUACUGCAAGAUACCAUACCACAAAGGGAAGGCUGGGAUUGAGUUUGGGGGUGAUGAAUCAUAAGGGGGUUCAAAAAAUUUGGGGGGGGGGGGGGUUCUUUUUUUUUUCUUUUUUUCCUUUUUUUUUUCUUUUAAAAUUUUCCAUUUUAAGUUGGUUAUUUCUGAUUUAUAUUUAAAAGCAAAUAAUAAUGAUAUGGUAGGAAAUACACACCAAACAGGAUGUGUAAAUUAUUAUACAAUAAGUAUUGUGCAAUAGCAAGAUAUUUUCAAUUGCACAGUAUUGCACAAUAGCAAGAAAUCUUCAAUUGCACAGUAUUGCGCAAUAGCAAGAAAUCUUCAAUUGCACAGUAUUGCGCAAUAGCAAGAAAUAUCCAAUAGCACAAUAUUGCGCAAUAGCAAGAAAUUGUCAAUUGUACAGUAUUGCGCAAUAGCAAGAAAUAUUCAAUUGCACAGUAUUGUGCAAAAGAAUAUACUUUGUAUAAAUUGCUUAUUUCUUGAUCAAUUUCAAUGGGGUUUUAUUCUUGAAUUCUUGGGGUUCUUUAAUAUGCUGAAUCUAACCAUGUAUUAAGUUUUUGGAUUUUGGGCCCUGUUUUUAAAUUGGUCCACAUUGAGGUCCAAAGGGUCCAAAAUUUAACUUUGUUUGAUUUCAUCAAAAAUUGAAUUAUUGGGGUUCUGUGAUAUGCCGAAUCUAACCGUGUAUUUAGAUUCUUAAUUUUUGGUUCCGUUUUCAAAUUGGUCUACAUAAAGGUCCAAAGGGUCCAAAAUUAAACUUAGUUUGAUUUCAACAAAAAUUGAAUAUAUGGGGUUCUUUGAUAUGCUGAAUCUAACCAUGUAUUUAGAUUUUUGAUUAUGGGCCCAGUUUUCAAGUUGGUCCAAAUCGGGGUCCAAAAUUUAACUUUGUUUGAUUUCAACAAAAAUUGAAUAUAUGGGGUUCUUUCAUAUGCUGAAUAUAACCGUGUAUUAAGUUUUUGGAUUUUGGGCCCCGUUUUUAAAUUGGUUCACAUUGAGGUCCAAAGGGUCCAAAAUUUAACUUUGUUUGAUUUCAUCAAAAAUUGAAUUAUUGGGGUUCUUUGAUAUGCUGAAUCUAACCGUGUAUUUAGAUUCUUAAAUUUUUGGUUCCAUUUUCAAAUUGGUCUACAUAAAGGUCCAAAGGGUCCAAAAUUAAACUUAGUUUGAUUUUAACAAAAAUUGAAUUUUUAGGGUUCUUUGAUAUGCUGAAUCUAAACAUGUGUUUAGAUUUUUGAUUAUGGGCCCAGUUUUCAAGUUGGUCCAAAUCGGGGUCCAAAAUUAAACUUUAUUUGAUUUCAACAAAAAUUGAAUAUAUGGGGUUCUUUGAUAUGCUGAAUCUAACCAUGUAUUUAGAUUUUUGAUUUUUGGGCCCCGUUAUCAACUUUGUCCACAUUGUGAUCAAAAGGGUCCAAAAUUAAACUUUGUUUGAUUUCAUCAAAAAUUGAAUUCUUGGGGUUCUUUGAUAUGCUGAAUCUAACCAUGUAUUUAGAUUUUGGAUAUUGGACCAUAAUAGGUGAAUGUCCAAUUUAAAAUUUUUAAGUUCUUAGACCACAUUCAUUCUGUGUCAGAAACCUAUGCUGUGUCAAAUAUUUAAUCACAAUCCAAAUUCAGAGCUGUAUCAAGCUUGAAUGUUGUGUCCAUACUUGCCCCAACUGUUCAGGGUUCGACCUCUGCGGUCGUAUCAAGCUGCGCCCUGCGGAGCAUUUUAUUAAAAGAGUUAUGCCCCUUGGAGAUAUUAAUUAUAUGGAAAAUUGCACCGUUAGCACUCUCAUGUGUACAGUUCUUGCCAGAAUUUUAUGAAAUUUAUAUCAUACGUUUAUAUCAGCAAGGUCUUUCGAAAAAGUGUUGAUCAAAUAUUUUUAACGAGUUAUGCCCCUUGGAAAUUUUAAUUAUAUUGGAAAUCACAUUGAAUUUGCUGUGAGGCAGACAUUUCUCUAAGAUGAUUAUCAACAGUUUUAAAGAACAGAAAAAAAGUGUACAAGUUUUGACAUAAUAUGAAUAAAAAGGUAAACCAGUGAAACAAUAACAUCCUAACAACACAAAUAAUAAAAAAACGCAGUAGAGUUCUCAAUAGACAGGUACACAAUCUAAAUAAAAAAAACAAAAAAACAAAUAAAA